GACGAACGCUGGCGGUAUGCUUAACACAUGCAAGUCGAACGAGAAGUUUUUUAUUGAACCUUCGGGGGAUAUAAGAGACAGACAGUGGCGAACGGGUGAGUAACGCGUGGGCAACCUACCUAUCGGAGCGGGAUAGCCUCGAGAAAUCGGGAGUAAAACCGCAUAACACGGAUAUAUCGCAUGAUGAAUCCGUCAAAACUCCGGUGCCGAUAGAUGGGCCCGCGUCUGAUUAGCUAGUUGGUAAGGUAAGGGCUUACCAAGGCAACGAUCAGUAGCCGGUCUGAGAGGGCGAACGGCCACACUGGAACUGAGACACGGUCCAGACUCCUACGGGAGGCAGCAGUGGGGAAUAUUGCGCAAUGGGGGCAACCCUGACGCAGCAAUACCGCGUGAGUGAAGAAGGUUUUCGGAUCGUAAAGCUCUGUUAUUGGGGAAGAAGCAGGACGGUACCC
rnacentral:rRNA from 1 species